GCCAUGCAGGAACGAUGGUAAGCCUUUAGUCCUGUGGGGAGUGGCAAUGGGCGCCUCCCUGGAUCAGGAGUGCAGCAGACACCCUGCCGGAUCCUGAGGUGUGGAAGUCAACGGCAGGUCUGGGACAGUGGUGAACAGCAGUGGUGGAUGACACACCCUGGGACUGGCGAUAACCCACUGCCUUGAAGGAGAGGACCCAGUCUUGGAAGCAUUUAUCACCUGCUAAGUGAAGAACCCUUGGGUUCUAAAUUGCCACCAGCAAUACCCAGACACUGAAGAUCAUCUAAUAGCAUCAAUACCAUCCAGGAAAACAUGACCUUACCAAAUGAACUAAAGAAGACACCAGGGACAAAUCCUGGAGAAACAAGACAUGUCACCUUUCAGACAGAGAAUUCACAAUAACUGCCUUGAGGAAACUCAAAUAAAUUCAAGAUAACACAGAGAAAAAAUUCAGAAUUCCAUCAGACAAAUUUAACAAAGAGAUUGAAAUAAAAAGAAUCAAGCAGAAAUUCUGAAGUUGAAAAAUGCGACUGGCAUACUGAAAAAUGCAUCAGAGUUUUUUAAAUAGCAGAAUUCAUCAAGCAGAAGAAAGAAUCAGUGAACUUGAAGACAGCCUAUUUAAAAAUACAGAGUGCGAGGAGACAAAAGCAAAAAUAAUAAAAAACAAUAAAGCAU